CAGAUGAGGAGAACUGGUGUACGCUGUUGGACCCUCUCCAUUUCUUUGGAGAAAUCGUCAGCAUGCCAGCUAGGACACUGUCAGCCCUAGCCUCUGUGCUGUUCUUCCCGGGUCCAUUAUCAAGUACUUGUGCUGGUUAGGAGGAUACGUGUACCCCUGUGAAGUUGUUGAGAAGACACAUAUUUACCACCUGUGCCGUGUUGAUAUACAAGACCCAACGCUUCACAUCUAAUGUCUAGACUCUAGACUUCCGACAGUUGUUACGACCGGCAGUUCGGCACUGACGACUCAUUAUCGUUUAUGACCAACACCAAUAAACCAAAUGGAUAAUACAAGAGACUUAAUUAGAAAUGGAAACAUGGAUGCGAUUACUACUCGGGAAAAUGUUUGUAUAUCAGUUUUUCAAACAAAAUCUGCAAGAUGUAAUGUGUAUAAAGAAGUUAAUCCGAGGAUGGUAGCGCACUGUCUUUAUAAAGACAAACAAUUUAUAAACGCGUUUCAGAUAAAUUCGUUCACUAGUUUCAGUCAGGUUACUCAUUGGCGAUCGAGAUGGCCCUGGAUCAGGCCUAUUGUCUGUGUAUCAAACGUCAAAAAUGUAAGCUGUGGUAAUUAAAGUAUAUUAUCUAUGUCUA